GCUCCGGGCGCGCUCAGGGAGGCUCGUGCGAAGGCGACGUUCCGCUCGUGGACCAGCCGGGCUGGGGCGAUGCUGCGGGUGCGGUGUCUGCGCGGCGGGAGCCGCGGCGCCGAAGCGGUGCACUACAUCGGGUCUCGGCUUGGAAGAAUCUUAACUGGAUGGGUGCAGCGAACUUUCCAGAGCACCCAGGCAGCUACAGCUUCCUCCCAGAAUUCCUGUGCAGCUGAAGACAAGGCCACUGACCCUCUGCCCAAGGACUGCCCUGUCUCCUCCUACAAUGAAUGGGACCCUUUAGAGGAAGUGAUAGUGGGCAGAGCCGAAAACGCCUGUGUUCCACCAUUCACGGUGGAGGUGAAGGCCAACACAUAUGAAAAGUACUGGCCAUUUUACCAGAAAUAUGGAGGGCAUUAUUUUCCCAAAGAUCAUUUGAGAAAUGCUGUGGCUGAAAUUGAAGAAAUGUGCAAUAUUUUAAAAAUGGAAGGGGUGACAGUGAGAAGGCCUGACCCCAUUGACUGGUCGCUGAAGUAUAAAACUCCUGAUUUUGAAUCCACGGGUUUAUACGGUGCGAUGCCACGUGACAUCCUGAUAGUUGUGGGAAAUGAAAUUAUCGAGGCCCCCAUGGCAUGGCGUGCACGCUUCUUUGAGUACCGAGCAUACAGGUCAAUUAUCAAAGACUACUUCCACCGUGGUGCCAAAUGGACAACGGCCCCUAAGCCCACAAUGGCUGAUGAGCUUUACGACCAGGAUUAUCCCAUCCACUCUGUGGAAGACAGACACAAAUUGGCUGCUCAGGGAAAAUUUGUGACUACUGAGUUUGAGCCAUGUUUUGAUGCUGCUGACUUUAUUCGAGCUGGAAGAGAUAUUUUUGCACAGAGAAGCCAGGUUACAAAUUGCCUGGGCAUUGAGUGGAUGCGUAGGCAUCUUGCUCCUGACUACAGAGUACAUAUCAUUUCCUUUAAAGACCCCAAUCCAAUGCAUAUUGAUGCUACCUUCAACAUCAUUGGACCUGGUCUUGUACUUUCCAACCCUGACCGACCAUGUCACCAGAUUGAUCUUUUCAAGAAAGCAGGAUGGACCAUAGUUACUCCUCCAACCCCAGUCAUCCCAGAUGAUCAUCCACUCUGGAUGUCAUCCAAAUGGCUUUCUAUGAACGUCUUAAUGCUAGAUGAAAAACGUGUUAUGGUGGAUGCCAACGAAGUCCCAAUUCAAAAGAUGUUUGAGAAGCUGGGUAUCAGUGCCAUAAAGGUUAAUAUCCGUAAUGCCAAUUCCCUGGGAGGAGGCUUCCAUUGCUGGACCUGUGAUGUCAGGCGCCGAGGCACCCUUCAGUCCUACUUUGACUGAGCAGGUCUGGUGGGGCUUGUAGCAUUGCCCCAGAUACACCUGAGAAGCUUAGAGAAACUCCUGUCAGUUCUACACUUGGACAGAAUCCUGCUUGAGAAGUCUUGGAGUUGUGUGGAUAGGUACAUACUGAUGUCCUCAUCUACUCUGCACCCUCUGCAUAUGCCUCAGUACCUAUUCUACAUCUUUACUAUAUUCUCUUCGCUGGUCGUGUUGUUUCAUUUUUCUUUGAGAAAACAGAGACAUCAGCCAUUACUUCCCUCAACUUCUGUCCAGUCUACAGAUUUAGGCACAUUUGGUUAAAGUUCUCUGUCUUUCCUGGCCUAAAGCAGCUAAGUUUUUAGGGAGAAAAGUCAGGCUUUCAUUGCAACUCUUGCAUUGACUUCACCCACCAUCUAAAAGAGACAUAUCUUUCAGUGCUGCAGAAAAAGCUAUGAAUCUUCUAACCAGGUCUAAUCCACACAACCAUCCUUUGAUCUAAUCUGCCUCUUCAGAAACUUGCCUCAUCAACUAUCAUCUGUUUUAUAAUUCCAGCACUGUGACCCAUGUGUGCAGUGUGAUAUGUCUCCCCACCUCAGAAAAGUCAUAUGCUCAAAACAGUUCUUUAUAUCACAUUUUAUACCCCUGAUCCAUGAUCAAGGCUUUUUUAUGACAAAAUGAUCACUUUUAGUUUAAGAGCAACUACUUGUCUUGCAAUAUUGCUAAUGAAAAAUGUACAUAAAAAAUUAAAAAUGUUUAAAUGUACAUACAGAUUUCACACAGUUGUAAUAACCAGCUGGUUUGGAUUUAAACAGUUAGUUGAACCACCCAGGAUUGGUGACACAAGCCUUUAAUCCCAGCACUUGGAAGGCUGAGGUAGGAGGAUGGAGAGUUCAAGGCCAGCUUGGGCUACAUAUCAAGACCCUGUCCCCCUGCCAAAAUUUCAGGAUAAACUUUUUCAUAUUUUUUAACUAACUUUACAGUUCAUUUGCCUCCCUGAUCAAUAGUCGUCUUUACUUAUGGUAUGCAUCUAUUGAGUGAUUAAGGACUGUAAUCACCAGCUGGCCAUGUGAAGCCAGUGGUAGAGCUCUUGCUUAGCAUGUGUGAGACCUUCCAUUCUCAGUCCUGAAAAAAAUAAAGAACUGUAAUCAACCUAACAUUGCUCAAGACAUGCCCUGUUAGAGUUUGAGUGCAAUAUCUCAACACAUUUGAUUGUCAAUAUCUGAAUUAUGUUUUAUUAGGUUCUACAUAAUUGCUAUCAGUAUUGAAACCAGCCCUUCAAUCCUUUGUUACCACUCAUUUUUAAAGCAGGUAUUUUACUGGGCCCGAUUUUCUGUUAACCCUUUACUUUGAGGGUGAAAGUAGUAUGAAAAGCCUAUUGGACAGGCUUGUGUUUCUCCUUGUUGUAAGCAGUGCAGUGUGUGUUUUCAUGUGAUGAAACAUGACUAGGAGAACCAAACUAGUACUACACAUAGGGUUUUAUGUUGUUACAUAUUGUUGCUGUUGCAGUUCCCCUAUAGAGUUAUCAGUGUUGGCUUAAAGCCAAUCCCAAAACAUAUCCUGAUAAUUUUCAACCCCGCUCCAAACAGUAGGUAAAAAGAGUGCAAGUUACUUGCCAGGUAUGUGAUGUCCCUAGGACAUGGAAUAUGUCUUCAGCAGAAAUAGAGACUUAGUGCAAAUGAGGCAGGUUUUAUUAUAACUUUGAGCAUCAACAGGGGCCAGUGACAUGUCAUCAUUUAGCACACCACUACAUAGAUUGAAUUUCUCCUGUGUCUACUCAUUUCAUGGAUUGAGGUCAAACUAGGGCAUGAGCAUGUUGACUGCAGUGACCUCAGACCCUGGCAUAGGGCUUAUUUGAAAAACAUCAUCAUGCCUGAGUUUUAUUUGCCCUUAGAAUUCUCUUAGAGAUCUCCAAAGAGCAGUACCAUGCACAGGAGUGGAAGAGGUCCUUUCUGUUACCCAGUUUUCUAUUUGCUAGACUUCAUUGUCAACAAUUCUACAUCCAAAUAUAUGCCAUGAGGGUUUUAAUUCAUGUUCAGUUAUGUCAGGAAAACAGCCCAUUGUGCCGACUUAUUCUUACCUUCUUCAGUGAGGAUUUUGUCACAUGCAAGAUUUAGGACAGCUGUUCCAAAUUGAGACCUGAUCCUUGAUUCUGGAACCAUCAUUAAGCUGAUUGCCAACAUUCUUGGGCAACUGGUGGCAACAAAAGGGUCUUCAACAAUUACAGCAAGCAAGUCUCCCUGGGGAGACUCUACAGUCAGGAGAAUAGAGCCUACUUGCUGUAUACACAAUGAGGUCCUCUCAUGGAAACUCCAGUAGUGUGCUUGUAUAUAUACCAUUUCCAUUUUAGAAUUGAGUCUCUUUGGACAUUGCCCUUCAUGUUGAAAUGCUUUUAUCACCUAUGAUACCCUGGGUAUUUCAGGUCUUAGUAAGUUAUGUCCCUCAGCCAAACAGUCAUUGAGACUGUUUCAUAACUGUUGAAUACCAAGAUUGUUCAGAGUUUUUCAAAAGGAGUAUAAUAGCAGCAUUUGGUAUUUUUCUAGUUCAAAGGACCAGAGGUCAUCAUUGACCAGUGACUUGGACUUUGCCAGAAAGUUCAGUUGGCACAAGUGCAGCUGGCUGACAUUUCCAAUUUUUUUCAUCAUUAGGACUAUACAGUUGUAAGGAAAUAAUAGGCUGCAGUCUUCCACGGUUCUAAGAACCCCUGUUGCUAUUCAGAUCCUCAAGCAAAUAUAGCCUUUUUCUGGGUAAUUUUAUGGAUUCAUGCUAACGUCAUCCCUAAAACAAAGAUGUGACUUCUCCAUCAGCCAAACAGCCCCACUAGGUGUUGAAGCCCUAGUGUAGUGUAAGAGGUGGAAAGUAACAAGAACAACUUAUUCCUAUUUGUCUGCAGUAUGCUAUAGGUUGCUGUAGCUUAUGCAGUCCCCCAAAUUUUCAGUCUGUGUAAGGCCCUACACUUUUCUGGAGGAAGUUGGUCACCCCAAGUCACCUGGUAUUUUAGCUCAAUCCUUAGUCUUUGAGAUAAUCAUAGCAUUGUUAGCAUAUUAGAACAUUAGAACAUUUUUGAGGCCAGGCAUGGCAGUGCGUAUCUGUGUAAUCCAAGUUAAUUGAGAGGUGGAGUUCAAGAGGAUCAUAGUUUGAGGCCAUCCCAACAAAAAGUUGGCAGGAGCCUCAUCCCAGCAAAUCAUAUGGGCAUGGUGAUAUGUCUGUAGUCCUGGCUACUGGGAGGCAUAUGUAGGAGGAUUGUGCUCUGAAGCUAGAGCCAGAUAAAAACAUCAGACCCUAUCUGAAAAAUUGCUAUUACAAAAUGGGCUGGGGCAUAGCUCAAGUGGUAGAGCGCCUGCCUAACAAGCAUCAGUUCAAACCCCAGUAGCACACACAGACACACACACACUCGAAUAUUUUCUAGAGGUACUUGAUCUAGGUGCCAUCUAAUCUAUUUAUGACAAUACACUGGACAGUUCCAUUAUCUCUGAGGUGUUACAGUAAAUGUACAUUAUGGAACACAACAGGUAAGUGUGAAUUAUGCUCUCUCCCCGGUUACAUUUUUGUUGGGACUCUCUGGGAUGAGCUGGCCCAAUUCUCACUGUAUCUGUAGGCAGGAGGACUCAGCCUCCUGCACCAUUGCUAUCUGUGUCAGAUUUGCUCUUUCAUCAGUUGUCCAAACAUUCAGACAUCUCUCAUUUACUGUUCUCUUCCUUUCUGUUAGUUUUGUGAGUUUUAAGCUUUUUACUCUGCUAAUAGCAUUUUAGGGCAGUUACGGGGGAAGUAAAAUGUUUGUGUUUAAUGUACUUCAUUCCCUAAUCAUGUGGAAGUCUUUAGUUAAUCAUAAGUGACAUCAUAAAGGAGAAAAUUAACAGAGUGCCCCCAAAACUUCUGUGGGAUUUUCUAGGAACUUGGGGUGGCCCACAAAUAUGUUUGUUAUCUUCAGAUUACAUCCUCAAGAUGUAAAACUCUCAAGUCUAGGAGUACCCUGAAGUCAACGAAGUAUUAACCUCAGCUGCAAAACUUAGGGAGUCCAAAAUACCCCUCAGUAAUCUAGAUAAAUAAUACAGUAUUUUUUAAAAUGAAAAAAGAAAAUCCAGUCUGGGGGUAGGUAGAGUUGUAGGCUUGUGUAGACUCUGAUCAGAAGAUUCCCAAAUUCUUUGUUUCCCACCUGGAAGCAUUCAGGCAGGACAGGUGGGUGUAGUUAGGAAGGUAAUAGAGCUUAUUAAAGAUUAGGGAAAGGAGUUACAGAAGGCCAUGGUGGGGCAGGUGGAAGCCAGAAGCAGAGAGAGCAUCUUCCUCUUUCCAGGUGCUUUAAAAACCUAUGCUAACUUACAGGAAGGGAAGAACCUGGUGAUUCACAACCACCAAUAAUAAUCAAUGAGUGGGGAAGAGCAUGGGUGGUCUCUGGAGUGAGGUGGGGAUGGUUUGAGUUGUCCCAGACCAGGGUGUGAAUAACUUACAUACAUUUGCAAUUGAAAA